rnacentral:lncRNA from 1 species
UGGCUUUUGCAGCUUAGCAAACUGCAUGUGUGAUAUAAGAGAAAAACAGUCAUCCAGGAUUACUUCUGGGCUUUGGAGCUAAGCAAGUACAACCACAAGACUGGCAUUUUCUGAGAAAGGGGACAAGAAGCAGCAUCUGGGAUGGCGCACAUCACAUUUUGGGUGCCAGAUCAAUGUCUGAAGUGAGAAGUCAAAAAGAUGGCUGAAUCUACAAACCCAGCCCUCAAGUCCGUGGAAAAGAAAAACGUUAGGAGCGUCAAGGAAGGUCUCGGCCAGGCCUGGUGACAUGCUUCCUGCCUCGGCUGGCUUCCUCUCCAGUCAGCUGCCAUGGGAAGUCUCUCAUUCAAAGUGUUAACCAGAAAGACAAGAACACUUGAAAAAUAUCCAAUCAGCUCUCCCAGAACUUAGUUUUAAUAAGAGGUCAGCCUGACAUUUAUUUUCCA